rnacentral:rRNA from 1 species
CACGUAGGGCGCAAGCGUUGUCCGGAAUUAUUGGGCGUAAAGAGCUCGUAGGUGGUUUGUUACGUCUGCUGUGAAAACCUAGGGCUUAACCCUGGGCUUGCAGUGGAUACGGGCAGACUAGAGGUAGGUAGGGGAGAAUGGAAUUCCUGGUGUAGCGGUGAAAUGCGCAGAUAUCAGGAGGAACACCGAUGGCGAAGGCAGGUCUCUGGGCCACUACUGACGCUGAGAAGCGAAAGCGUGGGGAGCGAACAGG